AUCACUUCUCAGUCUUUUGGCUAAGAUCAAGUGUAGUAUCUGUUCUUAUCAGUUUAUAUAUUGUGAAAAAUUUAUUUCUAAUGACAAAUCAAUGAAUUGUUGUCUUGAAGCAUGGUGUAGCAUGGGUAACAGUCUUCAUACCGGGUACUUGUAGGUGGGCGUAUCUGCAUGUGGGCGGACCCACC
ensembl:snRNA U2 U2 spliceosomal RNA